rnacentral:rRNA from 1 species
AGUCGAGCGAGUCUGCCUUGAAGAUCGGAGUGCUUGCACUCUGUGAAACAAGAUACAGGCUAGCGGCGGACGGGUGAGUAACACGUGGGUAACCUGCCCAAGAGAUCGGGAUAACACCUGGAAACAGAUGCUAAUACCGGAUAACAACAGAUGAUGCCUAUCAACUGUUUAAAAGAUGGUUCUGCUAUCACUCUUGGAUGGACCUGCGGUGCAUUAGCUAGUUGGUAGGGUAACGGCCUACCAAGGCGAUGAUGCAUAGCCGAGUUGAGAGACUGAUCGGCCACAUUGGGACUGAGACACGGCCCAAACUCCUACGGGAGGCAGCAGUAGGGAAUCUUCCACAAUGGACGCAAGUCUGAUGGAGCAACGCCGCGUGAGUGAAGAAGGGUUUCGGCUCGUAAAGCUCUGUUGUUGGUGAAGAAGGACAGGGGUAGUAACUGACCUUUGUUUGACGGUAAUCAAUUAGAAAGUCACGGCUAACUACGUGCCAGCAGCCGCGGUAAUACGUAGGUGGCAAGCGUUGUCCGGAUUUAUUGGGCGUAAAGCGAGUGCAGGCGGUUCGAUAAGUCUGAUGUGAAAGCCUUCGGCUCAACCGGAGAAUUGCAUCAGAAACUGUCGAGCUUGAGUACAGAAGAGGAGAGUGGAACUCCAUGUGUAGCGGUGAAAUGCGUAGAUAUAUGGAAGAACACCGGUGGCGAAGGCGGCUCUCUGGUCUGUUACUGACGCUGAGGCUCGAAAGCAUGGGUAGCGAACAGGAUUAGAUACCCUGGUAGUCCAUGCCGUANACGAUGAGUGCUAAGUGUUGGGAGGUUUCCGCCUCUCAGUGCUGCAGCUA